AUAUCGAAAUUUUAAGAGAUACUGUUUAUGAAACUUAGUCAAAGCACUUUUAACUUUUAGCUGAUUUUCUAAACUUAAAAUUCCCAAGAAAUGACAUGAAGCAAAAAAUUUUACAUUGGAUUUAUUCAAUAGGCUCGUUAAAUUGGCAAUACGGCCAGAUGCAGGAGAUCUAAAGAGUCUCGACAAGUUCUAUUUUCGACGAAAACGAAACGAUAGAAUAACUGUGCUGUGAUAGGCGAAACUUACAAGUUAAGCGAAGAAAAUAAAAAUGAAGAUUCCAGAUUUCAUGGUUCAGAAAUCGUAGCUAAAAGCUUAAAAUCAACAUCUACUUCUCAGAUGGUAACACAGUGUAUUUACGAUGAAGUCUCGAACGACGGAUCACAACACAUGUUUGACUAGUUUCCCUGCAUUGCUGAUUAGCGAGGCAGAUUCUUACUCGACGGCAAGGGCUUUAACGUCGUUUAUCUGAUAUCGGAACAGAGGUACCACAAGCGUGUGUCAAUGCGUAAGGGCUUUGGUCAAAGAUGAACAGAUAGCUUGGAUACUUCCCAGCUUGACCGGAGCGAUACAACUAU